AACGAACGCUGGCGGCAUGCCUAACACAUGCAAGUCGAACGUGAUCCGGGACUUCGGUUUCGGUGAAAGUGGCGGACGGGUGAGUAAUACAUGGGUAACCUACCCUUGAGUGGGGAAUAACUAGCCGAAAGGUUAGCUAAUACCGCGUACGCUUCUUGGACUUCGGUUCAGGGAGGAAAGCGAUGCCGAGGGUAUCGCGCUCUUGGAUGGGCUCAUGUCCUAUCAGCUUGUUGGUGAGGUAACGGCUCACCAAGGCUUCGACGGGUAGCUGGUCUGAGAGGACGAUCAGCCACACUGGCACUGCGACACGGGCCAGACUCCUACGGGAGGCAGCAGUAAGGAAUAUUGCGCAAUGGGCGAAAGCCUGACGCAGCGACGCCGCGUGGGGGA
rnacentral:rRNA from 1 species